rnacentral:rRNA from 1 species
GAUGAACGCUGGCGGCGUGCUUAACACAUGCAAGUCGAGCGAAGCAGUUAAGAAGAUUCUUCGGAUGAUUCUUAACUGACUGAGCGGCGGACGGGUGAGUAACGCGUGGGUGACCUGCCCCAUACCGGGGGAUAACAGCUGGAAACGGCUGCUAAUACCGCAUAAGCGCACAGAGCUGCAUGGCUCGGUGUGAAAAACUCCGGUGGUAUGGGAUGGGCCCGCGUCUGAUUAGGCAGUUGGCGGGGUAACGGCCCACCAAACCGACGAUCAGUAGCCGGCCUGAGAGGGCGACCGGCCACAUUGGGACUGAGACACGGCCCAAACUCCUACGGGAGGCAGCAGUGGGGAAUAUUGCACAAUGGGGGAAACCCUGAUGCAGCGACGCCGCGUGAGCGAAGAAGUAUUUCGGUAUGUAAAGCUCUAUCAGCAGGGAAGAUAAUGACGGUACCUGACUAAGAAGCCCCGGCUAACUACGUGCCAGCAGCCGCGGUAAUACGUAGGGGGCAAGCGUUAUCCGGAUUUACUGGGUGUAAAGGGAGCGUAGACGGCAAGGCAAGUCUGAUGUGAAAACCCAGGGCUUAACCCUGGGACUGCAUUGGAAACUGUCUGGCUCGAGUGCCGGAGAGGUAAGCGGAAUUCCUAGUGUAGCGGUGAAAUGCGUAGAUAUUAGGAAGAACACCAGUGGCGAAGGCGGCUUACUGGACGGUAAC